AAUAGAUACCCCGGUAGUCCACCCCGUAAACGUUGGGAACUAGUUGUGUGGUCCUUUCCACGGAUUCCGUGACGCAGCUAACGCAUUAAGUUCCCCGCCUGGGGAGUACGGCCGCAAGGCUAAAACUCAAAGGAAUUGACGGGGACCGGCACAAGCGGCGGAGCAUGCGGAUUAAUUCGAUGCAACGCGAAGAACCUUACCAAGGCUUGACAUACACCGGAAACGGCCAGAGAUGGUCGCCCCGCAAGGUCGGUGUACAGGUGGUGCAUGGUUGUCGUCAGCUCGUGUCGUGAGAUGUUGGGUUAAGUCCCGCAACGAGCGCAACCCUCGUUCUAUGUUGCCAGCACGUAAUGGUGGGAACUCAUGGGAUACUGCCGGGGUCAACUCGGAGGAAGGUGGGGAUGACGUCAAAUCAUCAUGCCCCUUAUGUCUUGGGCUUCACGCAUGCUACAAUGGCCGGUACAAAGGGCUGCAAUACCGUGAGGUGGAGCGAAUCCCAAAAAGCCGGUCCCAGUUCGGAUUGAGGUCUGCAACUCGACCUCA
rnacentral:rRNA from 1 species